rnacentral:sRNA from 1 species
UAUCCUCCGAAUAGCAUCAUGAAAUUUCUACUAACCGUUUUGGGUCUGGCGGCUCUGGCCAUGUUUGCCGAAGCUAAACCUCAGUUUUGGGGAGGUGGCUAUCCCGGUGGCAUGGGUGGCGGCAUGGGCGGUGGUUUCGGAGGUGGCGGCUUUGGAGGUGGUGAUUAUUGAGGAUUGAAAUAAUUAAAGAUUCGAUGUUGAAAUAAUUUAAUGUCUGUGUCCCAAUAAAAGUUAACAACAAGAUAUCCUUUAUAA